rnacentral:rRNA from 1 species
UACGUAGGGGGCUAGCGUUGUCCGGAAUCAUUGGGCGUAAAGCGCGUGUAGGCGGUCCGGUGAGUCCGCUGUGAAAGUCGGGGGCUCAACCCUCGAAUGCCGGUGGAUACUGUCGGGCUAGAGUGCGGAAGAGGCGAGUGGAAUUCCUGGUGUAGCGGUGAAAUGCGCAGAUAUCAGGAGGAACACCAAUUGCGAAGGCAGCUCGCUGGGACGUAACUGACGCUGAGACGCGAAAGCGUGGGGAGCAAACAGG